CUGUGAGGUAGGUACUGUUAUUAUCCGCUUUUGCCAUUUGAGAAAACUGAGGCCUAGAUAAACUGAGUAAUUUGUGAGACUCAUACAGAUCAGGAAGUGGUGGAGUGAGAAACCCAGGCAGUCUGACUUUACACUCCACACUUUUAACCUGCAAGUUUUAUCGCUUCUAUAAUUGCAUAAUAGUCCAUGAAUGAAUGGACUAUAAUUUAUUCAAGCAUUUUGCUGUUGAUGGAGAUUGAGGUGAUUUCCUCUUUUCCUCCUUUUAUCUUGCUACUGCCAACCAUGUUGAAAUAACACUGAAAUACAUACCGAUACUCUUUUUUUCUGUUGAAAGAGCCCCACAUUAAUUUCUUCCUGCGCCUCAUUUGGGAGAACACUACCAACUCUGGCAGUCUCAGUCCUGGUUAGGCAGUGGGUCCUGGUUAUCAUAAUUCAUAUUCCAAUGGCCAGUUAGGAAUUUUUGUUUCACCAGUUCCUCUGAACCCUCCACAUAUCUCUCUAGUACAGGGCAGAGUGGAGAGGCCUGUAUAAGUCAAUGCAGCUUAUAUUUAGAAACAGGAGGAAGUGAACUGUAAGGGAUUAUCUUCUCCUAGAUGUGUCAGAUGCAAUCACACAGCAUAGAUUUAUGAAGCGGAGUGAAAUAUUUGUUUUGAUUGCUCACUGAUUAAGAAUACAUAAUCUUGACAGACAUCUAGGGCAACUACUCUUACUGUAAGAAUCUGGGUCAGGGGUGCCCAGCUUCUUCUAAUUCAGCAGUCUCAUUUCAUUAAAGGACUAUGCAAAGAAACCUCAGUUUGGGUCUGUACGAUUGGCUGCUUCAUCUUCGGUAUUUCACGUUGCAGGAGCCCCAGCAGUUGCCAACGUUAUUGUCUGUCAAUGUGUAAUGUCAUCUUCAUAGUUGUUCAGUAUAGAGUUUGGAAAAGUAUCUGAGUAUCUUAUGAAAAACGAACAUACCAUAUGAAAAGUGGACAUAUAAUUUAAUACUAAAAUAAUUUAUGAAGAUAUUUGAGGUAAGGUGUUAGACCAAACCCCACAUGUUGGAGAUGCUUAAAAGUGGGGUUUUGCAAAAACCUGAAAAUUAUUUAAAAGGAAAUGGUUAAAAAUCUCAAGAGAUAUGUUUUAAAAAUUUAAUCUAGAAGCUCUGCAGGAUAGGUAUUUAUCAACAGAUUGCUAUGGUGUGCUACUACAUGAAAAUUGGACAGUAAAACACAUUUGGUUAUUUUAAGUUAAAUUAUCCAGUGAAAUGCAAAGGGGAAAAUCAUAGCAUAAAUUGGGAGAUCUUGUGUUUGUGGCUGGAUAGUACUUUUGUAUUUUUGUGUGAGGUGGUGGGUAGGGGUAGAUAAGCAUGUGAUCUCCUUAAAAUAUUUUUCUUUAGUACAGUGUAAGCUUUAGGGUAACCAGUUGUUACUCUAUACAGUCUAUGUUUGAAAGAAAUGUAUUCAAGACCAAAAAUUAAUGAUUACAUAUGUAAGAACUUCUGCUUUCAAAAGCAAAACAUCACAUCAUCUCUGUCCUGAAGUGUUAGCGUGUCUGUUUCUUGCGUCAGUAGCCGUCUCCAUUUCUGUCUGCUCAGGAGCAUUUAAAUCAAAAGCCUCACCCUUAAGCAUACAGGAUGCAGGCCUCAAUCCCUUCUUUACUCUGUUCAUGCAAGGGUGGGAAAUGUGACAGAUGUUUUAACCAACCCACGUUAUCUUUAAUACCACUGUUUUCACCAGCGAGAGCCUGUUUCUACAUCCACGGUGCGAAGAUGCUGCUGAUUUCACCAAAGGAACUCAGUUUCUGAAAUUCUUGAUACUCAUUAGCAAAAGCACAGGUACACUCUUCCACCUUGUUCUGAGCCCUGGUGGUUGGACAACUUCACCAGACUACCUUAUUCUCUGGUUCCAGGUGGUCCUGGCUGCUCUGGUAAUCUUCCCUCAAGUCUGUGGAAUUUUCACAUGACUCUUCUUCAAAGGGUGGAGUCCGUGGAAUGUGUGUGACCUUCACCGCAUUGUUGAAUGACUGUCCAUCAGAAAAAACAAAAAGUGAAGGGCCACUGGGCAAGUGGGUUUGCUGUACCAGCUAGAAUUCUGGAAAGAGAAUCAGGAAAUCUGGACCCAGUUAUUCAUCACCAUCCAUCCAACCAGCCAUCCGCUAUUCAUGGAGUCAGACAAUAAUUUGUAGAGUGCACCUAUGUGCCUGGAGUGUCUCUAAGACAAUGUGACUUGAUGACGUAAUACAAACUCUUCUAGUUCUGCUUCCUUGCAUUUAAAACUAGGUGAUAUAACAAAACUUUCUCUGUCUAUUACCAAUUGAAUGCUUUUACAGUUCUUGUAUGUGCUGACCUCCAGAUCUGACAAGGUAGGGUAAUGUUUCUCAAAGUCCAGCCUGGGUACCACCUGCAGCAGAAUCUCCUGGGUGCUUAAUAAAAAAAAAAAAAGCAGAUCCUGAGGUUUCCCCAAAUCUUCUGAAUCAGAAACACUGGGAGUUGGGGACCAGGACUUCUGGUUUUAAACAAGCUCUCCGGGUUAUUCUCAUGCACACUUGAAGUUUGAGAUGUACAGCUAUAUGGAUGCAAAAUAAAUACCUA